GCCGCCGCUACAAAAUGGCGGAUAAUUCAUGUUUUAUUAAUCCCAUCAAUAUGGGUAUCAAAUGAAAGGGCUCAACAAGCAAAAUACAAUAUACUAUAAAAAAUUGAAAUCCAAGAUGGCGGCCGCUACAAAAUGGCGGAUAACGUAGGUUUUAUCAAUCCCAUCAAUAUGGGUAUCAAAUGAAAGGUCUCAACAAGUAGAAUACAAUUUACUAUGCAAAAUUGAAAUCUAAGCUGGCCACCGCUACCAAAUGUCUGAUAACAAU
rnacentral:misc_RNA from 1 species